GACGAACGCUGGCGGCGUGCUUAACACAUGCAAGUCGAACGAAGUGGCGAACGGGUGAGUAACGCGUAAUCAACCUGCCCUUCAGAGGGGGACAACAGUUGGAAACGACUGCUAAUACCGCAUACUGAAGGGGGGGAUUGCGUCUGAUUAGCUAGUUGGAGGGGUAACGGCCAACCAAGGCGAUGAUCAGUAGACUGUCUGAGAGGAUGAACGGCCAAAUUGGGAGUUGGACACGGCCCAGACUCUGACGGGAGGCAGCAGUGGGGAAUCUUCCGCAAUGGACGAAAGUCUGACGGCGCAACGCCGCGUGAGUGAUGACGGCCUUCGGGUUGUAAAGCUCUGUUCAUCGUGGCGCGGUACCGGAAUAGAAAGCCACGGCUAACUACGUGCCAGCAGCCGCGGUAAUUC
rnacentral:rRNA from 1 species